rnacentral:tRNA from 1 species
GCGGUCGUGGCGGAAUUGGUAGACGCGCUGCCUUGAGGUGGCAGUGAGUAACAUCGUGGAGGUUCGAGUCCUCUCGACCGCACCA